rnacentral:lncRNA from 1 species
GUUUAUUCUAGUACUGUAUUACAGAAUAUUGAAAUUUGUGAAUAUCUCUGGCUCCUAAUGUCACAUAUCUGACAAUUUGCAGAAGCUGAUGAGAAAUGGAAAAAGAAUAGGAAAGUACACAGGGAUAAAUGAAUAUGGAGUAACAACCUUUUUUAAGAAAAAAAAAAGACAAAACAGAGUAUAUCCAUUUAAAGCUCAUCUUCCCCAUAGUAGCCUAGUUGCAUUAUCUACUUAAUUUAUUGUUGUUGCUGUAAACAUGU